UACGUAGGGUGCAAGCGUUGUCCGGAAUUAUUGGGGCGUAAAGAGCUCGUAGGCGGUUUGUCGCGUCGGCUGUGAAAGCCCGGAGCUCAACUCCGGGUCUGCAGUCGAUACGGGCAGACUUGAGUGUUGCAGGGGAGACUGGAAUUCCUGGUGUAGCGGUGAAAUGCGCAGAUAUCAGGAGGAACACCGGUGGCGAAGGCGGGUCUCUGGGCAACACUGACGCUGAGGAGCGAAAGCGUGGGGAGCGAACAGG
rnacentral:rRNA from 1 species